AGUGAACGUUGGCGGCGUGGAUUAGGCAUGCAAGUCGAGCGAGAACCGUAGCAAUACGGGGACAGCGGCGAAAGGGACAGUAAUGUGUAGGUACCUACCCCGAGGUCUGGGAUAGCUGCGGGAAACUGCAGGUAAUACCGGAUAAUGUCUUCGGACCAAAGGUGUGAUUCCACCUUGGGAGGGGCCUGCCUCCGUUUAGCUUGUUGCCGUGGUAACGGCCCACCAAGGCGACGAUGGGUAGCGGGUGUGAGAGCACGACCCGCGUCAUUGGGACUGAGACACUGCCCAGACACCUACGGGUGGCUGCAGUCGAGGAUCUUCGGCAAUGGGCGCAAGCCUGACCGAGCGACGCCGCGUGCGGGAUGAAGGCCUUCGGGUUGUAAACCGCUGUCGUAGAGGAGGAAAUGCAGGGGGGUUCUCCCUUCUGUUUGACCUAUUCUAGGAGGAAAGACGGGCUAAGUUCGUGCCAGCCGCCGCUGUAA
rnacentral:rRNA from 1 species